AUAUAAAGAAUCCAGAAAGACCAAGCAAGAUAACAAUGGUUAUCCUGGAGCACCCUGCUCAGACAGAGACAGCUGUACUCGUGUUUUGGUGGCUCAGCUUCCUUUUUUGGGACACGUGCUGUAAAGUAGAAGGCUUAAUCUAAGCUGAAUCUUCAAAAAGGGGCCAAAGAUAACACACCAACAAAGUGAUUCCCACAGAACUAUCAUCUAAAAAUUCAGCACAGUGUGUACUGUGCCGUUAGAAAAUUUGAGUAAACUGGACGAGUGGAAGACGAAAGAAGGCCUAAAAAUUCUGAAUGAAUAGAGUUUAAAAGUCAUGCCGUUAAGAAAUAGGAUAAAACCCUAUAGACGGGAUCUCGAAGAUGCAUCCAGCCCUUCAGUUGUUCUCAUCAGAAAUGGUCCCAGUGGAAGGGUGGCUUUGAAGAAGCAAUCAUUAAGCAAGUGAAACAGAGAGAAAAGCCUGAGGUAUGCUAAAUUACACAAGAACUUGAGCUAAACAAGAGCUGGUGUUACAGAGGGAUGUUGUUCCAAAGUUGGAAUUUUUGGUUAAAAUCAUCAUCAGUGUGCCGAAGGUUGGUCUGGAGAGAGGUACAACAGUGAGUGUCUACAGCCAUCUGUUAAACACAGCAGAGGCUCUGUUAUGGUUUCUCAGCCAGUGGUGUUGGGGAGCUUGUCAAAAUUGAUGGAAUUCUGAACACACAAAAGCGCCAUUGGAUUUUAAUCCACCAUGCCAUACCAUAUGGAAAGCAUCUGGCUGCCAACAGCUUCAUUUGCUGGAGAUCAGCAUGGCUAUGAUCCCAUGCACAUAAAUGGAAAACUCCUUCAGUGUGUCAUUGAAGCUCAGCCAUGGAUUGGCCUCCUCAGAGGCUGGACAUCAACGUUAUUGAAGCAGCGUGGAAUCAUGUUGACAAAGAACGAAAGGCCGCCAAGAUCCAAAUGUAAAUGUCCUGGAGAACUAUACCUAAAGAGUACUUAAAGAAAUGACAAGAAAGUUGCCAUGAGAAAGUUCAUGCUGUGCUGAAAAAUAAAGACGUCAUUAGAAAGCU